rnacentral:misc_RNA from 1 species
GUCUGAUGCUCGGUUGGCAUACUAGGCCACUUAUUGCCACUUCAGCUUGGAAACUCGGUGGUUCGGAAUAGUGAUUUAACUCAAUUCAGGUGGUGAGUUAAUGUUAGCGAGUCAGUGACUCUCAAAACCUCGGGGUGUGUGUGAGAGACUUGACAGUGACACGGGAGAGUUAAGAAGUUAUUAAACCAAUCAAGUGUGUAAUUCUAGUACUUCAAUUUACGACUUUUUUUUUUUUUCUAAAUGAAUCUUUGAAUUUUUUUUUAAAUAUUUUUCGAUCAACGAGC